CCGGGCCCGGCGCUCAGCAGCCCCCCGCGGCCGGGCUCCGCCGCCGCCCUCCCCGGGAGCUCCCCCGCCGCCGCCAACUGCUCCGCGGGGAGACGCCGCGCCCUGCGCCGCGGCCCCAUUGGUUCAGAGCGCUGUCGGACUGGUUGCCUCUGAAUCUGAAAGUUCAAUUUCUUUCAGAUACGCCGCAAAGACGUGCUUGUUAAAUAUUUCCCACUGAGCACGAGUGAUUGCUGCACGUCUCACUUUCUCGCCUGUCAAAUUUGCAAUGAAGCAUCACAACAUUUACGCAGAUUACUUCUCUACGAGAUGAAAUGCCGACAAUUUGGUGUUUCAGCCACUGUACCUCUCCCUUGGAAAGCAAGUAAAAAUAAAUGCCUGGAGGGUAA